GACGAACGCUGGCGGCGUGCUUAACACAUGCAAGUCGAACGGGCCCGCCCCUGUUUUUGGGGGUGGGUUGAGUGGCGAACGGGUGAGUAUCACGUGAGUAACCUGCCCCCUGCUCCUGGAUAACUGCUUGAAAGGGCGGCUAAUACGGGGUGUGCCGGCUGGUCCGCAUGGGCCUGGUCGGGAUAGUUUCAUCUUCGGGUGUUUCGGUGGGGGAUGGGCUCGCGGCCUAUCAGCUUGUUGGUGGGGGGAUGGCCCACCAAGGCGGUGACGGGUAGCCGGCCUGAGAGGGUGGGCGGCCACACUGGGACUGAGGCACGGCCCAGACUCCUGCGGGAGGCAGCAGUGGGGGGUAUUGCACAAUGGGCGGAAGCCUGAUGCAGCGACGUCGCGUGAGGGAUGGAGGCCUUCGGGUUGUGAACCUCUUUCUCCGGUGGUGAAGGCCCUGUCCGUUGCGGCGGGGUUGACGGUAGCCGGGUAUGAAGCGCCGGCUAACUACGUG
rnacentral:rRNA from 1 species